AACUCUGAAAUCAGAUCAACGCUCAACUCGAAAAACCUCUGUUCAUGCAUCAUCGAGCCCAGCAGCAUCUGGAAUAACCGGUAUCGAUCUGGAGGGGAUAUUAUACAAAAAAUCUUCACACAAUAUGAUCGUUGUGAACUCGUAUUGAAGGGAGUGAGAUGGAGUGACUGAGGGGAAUGGGAUGAUCCAAGGACAACGCCAACUUUGAAAUCUGAGGAACGCUCGACUCGAAAAUCCACUGUACCUGCAAUAUCGAGCCCAGCAGCAUCUGGAAUAACAGGUAUCGAUCUGGAGGGAUAGUCAACAAAAAUCUUCACACAAUAUGAUCGUUGUAAUCUCGUUCUGAACGGAUUGGGAUGAGAGACUGAGGGGAGUGGGAUGUCUUGAUUGAGAUCCAGGGACAACGCCAACACUGACAGCUGAGGAACAGUCGGCUUGAAAAUCCACUGUACCUGCAGUAUCGAGCCCAGCAGCAUUGGAAUACCAGAUCCAGGGACAACGCCAACACUGAAAUCUGAGGAACACUUGGCUUGAAAAUCCACUGUACCUGCAGUAUCCAGCCCAGCAGCACUGGAAUAACAGAUCCAAGGACAACGCCAACUUUGAAAUCUGCGGAACACUCGAAUCGAAAAUCCACUGUACCUGCAAUAUCGAGCCCAGCAGCAUCUGGAAUAACAGAUCCAGAGACAAUACCAACUCUGAAAUCAGAUCAACGCUCAACUCGAAAAACCUCUGUUCAUGCAUCAUCGAGCCCAGCAGCAUCUGGAAUAACAGGUAUCGAUCUGGAGGGAUAGUCAACAAAAAUCUUCACACAAUAUGAUCGUUGUAAUCUCGUUCUGAACGGAUUGGGAUGAGAGACUGAGGGGAGUGGGAUGUCUUGAUUGAGAUCCAGGGACAACGCCAACACUGACAGCUGAGGAACAGUCGGCUUGAAAAUCCACUGUACCUGCAGUAUCGAGCCCAGCAGCAUUGGAAUAACAGGUAUCGAUCUGGAGGGAUAUUCAACAAAAAUCUUCACACAAUAUGAUCGUUGUAAACUCGUACUGAAUGGAUUGGCAUUGAGAGACUGAGGGGAGUGGGAUGUCGUGACUGAGAUCCAGGGACAACGCCAACACUGACAGCUGAGGAACAGUUGGCUUGAAAAUCCACUGUACCUGCAGUAUCGAGCCCAGCAGCAUUGGAAUAACAGGUAUCGAUCUGGAGGGAUAUUCAACAAAAAUCUUCACACAAUAUGAUCGUUGUAAACUCGUACUGAAUGGAUUGGCAUUGAGAGACUGAGGGGAGUGGGAUGUCGUGACUGAGAUCCAGGGACAACGCCAACACUGACAGCUGAGGAACAGUCGGCUUGAAAAUCCACUGUACCUGCAGUAUCGAGCCCAGCAGCAUUGGAAUAACAGAUCCAGGGACAACGCCAACACUGAAAUCUGAGGAACACUUGGCUUGAAAAUCCACUGUACCUGCAGUAUCCAGCCCAGCAGCACUGGAAUAACAGAUCCAAGGACAACGCCAACUUUGAAAUCUGCGGAACACUCGACUCGAAAAUCCACUGUACCUGCAAUAUCGAGCCCAGCAGCAUCUGGAAUAACAGAUCCAGGGACAACGCCAACACUGACAGCUGAGGAACAGUCGGCUUGAAAAUCCACUGUACCUGCAGUAUCGAGCCCAGCAGCAUUGGAAUAACAGAUCCAGGGACAACGCCAACACUGAAAUCUGAGGAACACUUGGCUUGAAAAUCCACUGUACCUGCAGUAUCCAGCCCAGCAGCACUGGAAUAACAGGUAUCGAUCUGGAGGGAUAUUCAACAAAA